GGCCGGCGGCUUGUUUAUUUAUUGUGCUGUGGUAGUGUCCGGUUACGCCUCGCCACAUCGAGGUCUGUGAGAACCCCGUCUUAUUUGGCGGGGUUUUGCUUUUUU
rfam:Pseudomonas sp. MF4836 contig004, whole genome shotgun sequence.